rnacentral:rRNA from 1 species
UACGUCGGGUGCAAGCGUUAAUCGGAAUUACUGGGCGUAACGCGUGCGCAGGCGGUUGUGCAAGACAGAUGUGAAAUCCCCGGGCUUAACCUGGGAAUUGCAUUUGUGACUGCACGGCUAGAGUGUGUCAGAGGGGGGUAGAAUUCCACGUGUAGCAGUGAAAUGCGUAGAUAUGUGGAGGAAUACCGAUGGCGAAGGCAGCCCCGUGGGAUAACACUGACGCUCAUGCACGAAAGCGUGGGGAGCAAACAGG